AUUGAACGCUGGCGGCAGGCCUAACACAUGCAAGUCGAGCGGAGCGGCUGACGGGUGAGUAAUGCCUAGGAAUCUGCCUGGUAGUGGGGGAUAACGUCCGGAAACGGGCGCUAAUACCGCAUACUAUCAGAUGAGCCUAGGUCGGUUUAGCUAGUGGGUGGGGUAAAGGCCUACCAAGGCGACGAUCCGUAACUGGACUGAGAGGAUGAUCAGUCACACUGGAACUGAGACACGGUCCAGACUCCUACGGAGGGCGUAAGUGGGAACUAUUGGACAAUGGGCGAAGUCCUGAUCCAGCCAUGCCGCGUGUGUAAAGACGGUCUUCGGAUUGUAAAGCACUUUAAGUUAGGAGGCGUUACCAACAGAGUAAGCACCGGCUAACUUCGUGCCAGCAGCCGCGGUAAUUC
rnacentral:rRNA from 1 species